rnacentral:rRNA from 1 species
UACAGAGGUCUCAAGCGUUGUUCGGAUUCAUUGGGCGUAAAGGGUGCGUAGGUGGCGUGGUAAGUCAGAUGUGAAAGCCCGGGGCUCAACCUCGGAAUUGCAUCCGAUACUACCAUGCUAGAGUACUGAAGAGGUGACUAGAAUUCUCGGUGUAGCAGUGAAAUGCGUAGAUAUCGAGAGGAAUACCAACGGCGAAGGCAGGUCACUGGGCAGUUACUGACACUGAGGCACGAAGGCCAGGGGAGCAAACGGG